rnacentral:lncRNA from 1 species
AAAAUCCACCGGCAUAGUUCAAGUUUGAUCUAUGAUUACGACAAUGCUUAUUUCAAUUACAUUGUUUUUUUUUUUUUGUCUUUUUUAAACAUCAGUCUGCAGUAAAGAAUGCAUAUAUAAAAGAGCCGAGUUGCAUCAUGCAUUGGUUCAGCACCGACAGCACACCAUAAUUAUCCAGCUCCAUCACAUCUACAUCAGAGUUCAACAUCUUAUAAACAUCAACCCCAGGUGGAUUCCAAGGGCAUUCCCUGGUUUGCUACUCCCGAGUGUCAAUCUGGACCCUCCCCAUGAUUAAGCUAAUGUGUCCUAUCACAUCGAGUCCGUAACCACAAUACCACAUUCCAUCUUUGUUUCUCCGUAAACAAGAGCAUUCUCAGAGAAGCCCGCAUGAUAAUCCAACCAUCAGUCCAGCUUGCGAACUCCUCAUUCUUCCUGCUGCAGUUAUGACUGGAAAAAUGAACAGUUCAACACCAAAGACCUUGGAGAAGCCAGUAACCGAUGGGUCGAGGCUCAAAUGCUGGGUUUGGCAGAAGAUCAUGGUGCCACUCAAGGAUGCCGAGAACCACAAAAUUGAAACGGGAGAUG